AAUAAGUAAAUUUAUAUUAAUACUUCGAAAAUUCACGUUAUUUAAUUUAAUUUGUUAUUAUUAUAAGAGCUCAAAAUAAAGCAGUUUGUUUUCUUCCUCAAAGUAAACGAAGAAAUAUAUUGGCCUAUUACUGGGAGAAAGUACAGGUGAACCACCUACAACACGAUAUCGCUACAGCGCGGUUGAAACAAUGCGGAAAAUUUCCUACAAUGCCACAAUUCUAUAAUAACAGAAUCUCAGUUUCUGUAUCUUCCAUAACGCGAUUUCUCACAACGCGGUAUUUUCAAGGAACGUAUCUACCGCAUUGUAGAAGGUUCACCUGUACUCAUACUAAGGAAAAGUAACAGGAUUUCUGUGUACUGUUGGAGGAACCAUUUGUAUCUGAACGGAAAUUUGCGGCGCCCUAUUUUAAUUUAGAAAAAAGUUUUUAAUGUUUUAUUUGUAAGUUCAUAUUUUCAUAUUUAAGUAAUUAAUUAAAUAAUCAUAUGUCAUUGUAUUCUUAAACUGAAAAUUAUAUGUAUAUAUACAUAUAAACUCACAUAAUAAUGAAAGAUUAAUCAAGAA